CCGGUGGGUGGGGAAGUCUGGGUUGGGUUGGGCUGGGUCCAGCGGCAGCGCGCGGUCCGCAGACCCUGUCCCACCCCGGUCCUCGAGACUGAAGGAGGUGGCCCCGCGGACCUGGAGCAGUGAGUCACCAGUGCCGGAGAGCCGGAGGCGGCAGCGCCGGUGGGCACCGAUUUCCUCCCGGGUGACCUUGAGCAGGGCUCUUCCCCUUCUGGCCUUGGUGUUCUCCCGCUGAAGGGUUGUUCCCUCGGGGCCCCUCCAGCCACCGUCCAGCAAGGAGCCCCGCACUCUGUCCCCACCCGCCGUUCCCUGCAGGAGGCCAUAGUGGAACCCUGACCGGAGACUGAAGAAAAGGGCCGUUUUCGUGACUGGCUGCGGUAGAUAAACAGUGACACGUCUCGAGGAAACGAGGCCGGGGGCGCCCAGGAUUCCCACUGGUGGUUUGAGGACUUUUCUUAACCCACCAACAACCACACGAUGGCGAUGAUAUUGGCAAUGAUGGCCAUGGUGACUAUGAUCCCAAAAGAAAAGAAGACGAUGCCGAAGGCCGGUGGGUCACGACUUCGUUUCAAGGCUCAUUAUCAUGGGAAGGCGUCCUCUUCCUUGGAAAUCUAAAUGCAGAACACCCAUCCAUCUUCAGGAAGCCCGUGCGUGUCAAGUCAGGCAGAGCAAAACCUUAUACCUGCAUGUUUUCCUAAUGUGAGAGACUGCUCUGUAAAUUUCUUUCCAGUGCUCAGUUGAGUUAAUAUGGAAUUUGCAUAAACACUUGGCAAGAAA